rnacentral:lncRNA from 1 species
ACCGAAGAAGAAGCGGUCUUCACCUAAGUUAUGAAGGUGAGGGUGGUGUGGGAGCACAGAGGGCUGAAAUCACUGGUUCUGGGGGACAGCUAAGGAGAAUGCACGAUGGUGAUGGGGGAUGAGUUGCUAAGAUAUGACACUAUUCAAUAAAUUUUUAAUUGUUAAAUAAGAAAUUCUUAAUUUAUUAAUAUUUAAUUAGUUUUUUACUUUAGUUGGUGAAAGAGUGGGCCUCGCUCCUGCUACGUUAACAUUUAACAACUAAUUUGACAAAAAAUUUAACGGAUGUCUAACAUUGCAACGAAUACAUAAGUUGAGGUAUGACAUUAUCAUUUUUAAAACAUAAGGUAUGAGAUUGUGGUUCGACCUAUAAUUAAGGUAAUUUUGUGAUUUUACCCUAAUUUUUAUAUGAAACAUUAAUGUACAUAAGUUUUUGCUAGAAGAGCUUUUAUUAAAAACGUGUUUUUCUAACACAAUUAAAAACAUUUUUGGUUGUAAAAAAUGUGAUGCAUAUUUGAAAAGACGCCAGCUAUUGGAAUGGGUAAUCGAAACCCCACUAAUAGCAAAAACUAAGAUUGAUUGGGGUUGGAUAAUCUAUCAAAUGCUUUAGCCCUUAUAGAGAUUAGUUCCAAACACGCUCUAAUUUUCUAUUUGGAAAUACCGUCUCCAUCAUCACUCGUGAACAAACUUUGAUUCAAAAAAAAAAAAAAAUUAUCAAGGAAGAAAUUCAAUAAAAGUAAAAACCUCUAGUACAACUAUUGUCCAUACAGUUGAAAUUAAAGGCAUUGAGAGCAAUAGAAGGCAAAUAAUAAUCCGAAAUAUGAUGAUUCUCGAGCCAAAGUUCAAGAUGAGCCAAGGCGUCAGCGAUAAAGUUUAUCUCUCGGUAAAUAUGGUUCAACACAAAAAAGAGUAAGCAAGACAACGGGCAUCCUCAAUGAUAGAUUUAAGGAAUUUUAACGAAAAACUCUUGGUACAGUUCAUUUUAACGAAAAAUCACAUUUUUACACUAAAAAGUUAAUCAUAGUACUAUUCACUUUACCUUUUAUUUUGUCCUUAUCGUUAAAACUCAAAAUUUUCAAACUCUUUUCAUUAAUUUUUUUGAGAUUUAAUCCUCCAUGGGACCUCCCAAUUACCUUGCACCACCUCAAUAACAAGUUUCGAGUCACCCUCAACAACCACCAUUUAAAAGCCCUUGGACUAAGCAAGCUUAAGCCCUUCUUUCAGGCCCAUCGCUCAACAACUCAAAUACUAACCUCAUUUAACUUUGAUAAACGAGAUGUAAUUUCAUUUUCUUACUAAACAAAAAUGAUAAAGUCAUAUCCACAGAUGUUUCAUCAUGUGAUGUGAAAAUAUGACAGUUGCUUCAAAUUAAAAAAGAAAAUGGCAAGACAAGUAGAGAAACUCAAAUUGUAAAUAACUUAGGGCAAUUGAAUAUUAAUCCUUUGAUAAGAUUGAAAUUCAAUUAAAAUCUAAGGUAAGAUCAAAUAUUUAUUAUAGUUAAAUUCAUAAUUAAUUGUUAUUAGAUACUUAAAUUCUUUUUUUUUCAUUCCCAAAAUGCCCAUAUUAAAUAUUUGAUUUUUUUUUUUGUCAAACUAAAAUUUUGAUUUAUUUGAUCCAGAUUUUUUGCCAUCAUCCUUGACUUCCUCUAUUAAUAAAUGCACCUGAAUGGAAAACCUUAACAAAAAAAAUAUUAAUGAAACGUUAAGAAAAAAAUGCAAAAUACAUAGAGUCUAUCGUUAUGCAAGUUGCAAAGUAAAGAGUACAUACCAAACAAUUAUAAAAUGAUUGUACCUAAAUAUGUGUACCAAAGUAUGUGUACCGAAGUAUAUGGACCAA